rnacentral:lncRNA from 1 species
CUCGCAGCUCAUGAAGUCAAGGGGAAUGAUGGAAGAAAGGCACAAUCAUUAUAAAUGGAUUUAAUGAGAAAAAUUUGGGAACUCUGUAAUUCCCAGUAGUACAAUGUACUAUGCUUACAAGUCUCACUCCAUCUAGAAGCAAAGAGCUGCUGUGUGAGCAAAAAGAAUGGGAACACUUUACAGGUAUCCUGAUGUCUGCAUGACAAAGAACUAGAACAAGAGACAAAAUGAGAAAUGUAGCAAUAGACAGGCUUGUUCAAUAUAAAAUUAAAAGGUUAGUGUAACUGCCAGAAUUAUUCAUAACUCAGGAACCAGGUUACAUUUUCCUGCAUAGACUAUUCAAAUAAUAAGACUAAAGGGAAAUGUUGUCAUGUUAUGUUGUUGCAGGGGGUAUCACAGAAAGAAAGUGAUCAUGAACCCAUUUCCUGGGGAUCGGAGGGCUUCAUACCAGUGGAGAAACAUUCUUACAGAAAAGUCAAAGGAUUCUGAGACAUCAGGCCAAUGCUGUGACAGAGAAUUUGACUAAGUAACUAACAGACAGAGUCAAGAUCCUGGCACAGUUUCUGGGAUAACUGAGUAUAACUAAGAAUUCAGGCCAUGUUUACUUUUUAUAUCUGUACUUGUCCUGCUACAUGGGCCCUACUGGGCUCUCAAUAAAUACAUUCUUAAGGAAUGAAUAGACAAACAAACUGAAAACUUCAUAUGGUUGCCUGCCUUCAUGUCUCCAGACAAAGGAAGACAUCAGAAGGUUCUCAAGCUGCCUUAAAUAUCAUAGAAGAAUUUCACGUUGAAGUUGCUGAUUUUAUUCAGCCUCUUUGAACAUGUCAACAUGGAUAUUGUCCUUGAACACACAGCUCCACAUGCCCAUGGGCUGAAGAAGAUGCUGAGAAAUGGAUUCUAUAUGUGGAAAUUUCAUGUUUAGUAGAGAAUAGCAAGAAGGUGUAAUAGAGAAGAAGAAGCAAAAUGUGGUGAUAUGCAUCUGCGUAGGAAAAACAUCACUAUAAUAAGCUGGGCUGACUCACUGAGGAGGACAGCUCCCUUCAAAGAAGGCCUUCAGGUGACUUGCAGGAAGCCCCUGGAGAAAAUGGAAUGAAAGAGGACAAGGCUUAUAUGGAGCUAAGUGAAAUAUGAGAAUAACUUACAAGUCCUGGCUAGAUAAGGUUUGAGAUCCUUUUGAGUUACCACAAAAGACUGUGUUCAAAUUUCAACUUGUAAUGUGUAAGAGGAUUCAGGGGCAGUGAGAGAAGAGAAACAACUCACUUCACCAUCAACAGAGCUAAACUGCUUCUUAGGACUAUUUCCUGACAUCACAUAGUAUCUGACAAAUUUGAAAUAAGACAAAACAUUAAGGAGAAAGGGAAAGUGGAAAAAAAUCCUCCAUUAAAUAAAAUGUAAAUGUGAGAAGGGUAA